rnacentral:lncRNA from 1 species
CAUGGUGCAUCAUUUAUCAUUAGAAUAUCUCCUGGUACUUUGGAUGGGGUUGAUGUGCAUUGCAGGGUGAAUGACAUUAAUGAGCAACUCCUGUGUUAGGCAAUUUCAAGCAUGUGUACUUAAUGCAUAACUAGAAUGAAAUUUCCCCAUUGGCCCUCUGACUAUAUUUGGAGUCCAUGCUUCAUCCUGUGAUCUUCUGGGCUUUGUCUCAGACCGCUGGAAGAUGUUGCUCUCGCAGCUGUUGGAAGUGACCCAUUGAUGCAGUUGGCAACAGUUGCUCAGCAUCUGGAAAGUUAGCUGGGGAUAGCAAGAUCCCAGUCAUGGUCUCAGACACAGCCUAGGUGUCUCAUCACCA